rfam:Gorilla gorilla gorilla genomic chromosome, chr4, whole genome shotgun sequence
CAGAUAAACAAUCUGGCCUUUUCAUUAGCUCUUAGUAGGAUUACACAUGCAAGCAUCCCCACCCCAGUGAAAAUGCCCUCUGGAUCACCGGCUCAAAAGGAGCAGGUAUCAAGCAUGCACGAAUGCAACUCAAAACACUUUGCUCAACCAUAUCCCCAAGGGAAACAGCAGUGAUAAAUCCUUAGUAAUAAACGAAAGUUUGACCAAGCCAUACUAAUAUUUAGGGUUGGUUAAUUUUGUGCCAGCCACUGCAGCCAUAAGAUUAACUCGAGCUAAUAGAACUUGGCGUAAAGAGUGUUUAAGGUCUACCCUCAAUAAAGCUAAGCUCCAUCUAAGCUGUAAAAAACUCCAGCUGACAUAAAAUAUACUAUGAAAGUGACUUUAAUAUCCUGAAGACACAAUAGCUAAAAUCCAAACUCGGAUUAGAUACCCCACUAUGCUUAGCCCUAAACUCUAAUAGUUAUAUUAACAAAACCAUUCACCAGAGUACCACAAACAACAGCUUAAAACUCAAAGGACUUGGCGGUGCUUUAUAUCCCUCUAAAGGAGCGUGUUCUAUAAUCGAUAAACCCUGGUGCUCCUCACCACCUCUUGCCCCUAGCCUAUAUACUGCCAUCUUCAGCAAACCCUAAAAAGGUCACAAAGUAAGCACAAGUACACAUAUAAAAACAUUAGGUCAAGGUGUAGCCCAUGAGGUGGCACGAAAUGGGCUACAUUUUCUAUGUCCAGAAAAUCUCACAACAACCUUUAGGAAAUCUAAGGGCUCAAGGAGGAUUUAGCAGUAAACCAAGAGCAGAGUGCUUGGUUGAAUAAGGCCAUGAAGCAUGCACACACCGCCCGUCACCCUCCUCAAAUAUUACUCUAGAAAUCACUAUUACUAAUAGUUUUCUAUGAACAUAUAGAGGAGAUAAGUUGCAACAUGGUAAGCAUACUGGGAAGUGCGCUUGGACAAACCAAAGU